rnacentral:rRNA from 1 species
UGGUAAGAAUUGGAUUAUUUAAUUUCUCUCGAAAUCUACAGAGCUAGUUUAAGGUAUAGUUAUAGCUAUUAUAGGUGAGUGUGGCAAAACUUUGUAAAACCUUAAAGUAGAAGUUAAAUUCUAUUCGUGUUAGAUGAUAGCUAGUUCCACUAGAAAUAUAUAAAAGUAUAGGAGCUUAGAUUAGACUAAAUUAGAAGUUAGUACUAAGAUUUAAAGUUAGGUAUCUCAUCUAUAGGAGGUUUAGCUCAUGUAGUAAUAUGUAAUGUGAUAUAUGUUAAUAAUAAAAUUUAAGCUUAUGAGUGGCUAAAAUUUUGAGUUUGUUAUAAAAUAUUUGUUUUAGGAUUCUAGUUUGCUAGAUUUAUAUUGGCAAAACUAUGAAUUAAUCAAUAGUUUUGGUAUAUGCUAGUAUGAGUAUUUAAUAUUGGAAAAUAAUUAAUUAUGUAAUUAUAUGUUGAUUAAAGUUUGUUAUAGUUUCUUGAAAUAUUAAAAAGGAAUUCGGCAAAAAUUUACUUCGCCUGUUUAGCAAAAACAUGGCUCUCUG